CAAACUUGAGAGUUUGAUCCUGGCUCAGAACGAACGCUGGCGGCAUGCUUAACACAUGCAAGUCGAACGAACCCUUCGGGGUUAGUGGCGCACGGGUGCGUAACGCGUGGGAAUCUGCCCUUUGCUACGGAAUAACUCAGGGAAACUUGUGCUAAUACCGUAUGAUGUCGAAAGACCAAAGAUUUAUCGGCAAAGGAUGAGCCCGCGUAGGAUUAGCUUGUUGGUGAGGUAAAAGCUCACCAAGGCGACGAUCCUUAGCUGGUCUGAGAGGAUGAUUCAGCCACACUGGGACGAGACACGGCCCAGACUCCUACGGGAGGCAGCAGUGGGGAAUAUUGGACAAUUGGGCGAAACCU
rnacentral:rRNA from 1 species